rfam:Kitasatospora griseola strain MF730-N6 RKJC_1, whole genome shotgun sequence.
CUUCACCGACCCCAGCCACAGCGGCUCGUCCCGGUCCUGGCCGUAGGCGGCCAGCAGGGCGUGGGCCUC